rnacentral:rRNA from 1 species
GGAGGAUCCGAGCGUUAUCCGGAUUUAUUGGGUUUAAAGGGAGCGUAGAUGGAUGUUUAAGUCAGUUGUGAAAGUUUGCGGCUCAACCGUAAAAUUGCAGUUGAUACUGGAUAUCUUGAGUGCAGUUGAGGCAGGCGGAAUUCGUGGUGUAGCGGUGAAAUGCUUAGAUAUCACGAAGAACUCCGAUUGCGAAGGCAGCUCACUGGAGCGCAACUGACGCUGAAGCUCGAAAGUGCGGGUAUCGAACAGGAUUAGAUACCCUGGUAGUCCGCACGGUAAACGAUGGAUGCCCGCUGUUGGUCUGAAUAGGUCAGCGGCCAAGCGAAAGCAUUAAGCAUCCCACCUGGGGAGUACGCCGGCAACGGUGAAACUCAAAGGAAUUGACGGCCGUCAAUUCCUUUGAGUUUGGUAUUACCGCGGCUG